GGUCCUGACUAGCUCAACUGGUAGAGCGUGGCAUAACGGUUAGGGGUUCGAUUCCCACUGGGACCA